rnacentral:lncRNA from 1 species
AACCCAUGAUGUGGAACAUUGAUCAAAAGAUCUUUGAACCUCUCCCAAGCUGCGUGUAGAGAUUCGCCUUCGUCCUGUUUGAAUGUCAUAAUACGGUUCUUAAGCUUAGCUGUCUUUUCCGGCGGGAAAUAUUUUUGCAUAAAAAGAUCGGCCAUCUCGUUCCAAGUCGUAGUUGAGUCCUUGGUAGAAAUUCAACACAAGUUGUCUUUUGGACAACCCAUGAUGUGGAACAUUGAUCAAAAGAUCUUUGAACCUCUCCCAAGCUGCGUGUAGAGAUUCGCCUUCGUCCUGUUUGAAUGUCAUAAUACGGUUCUUAAGCUU